rnacentral:rRNA from 1 species
GAGAUGUGGGUAGUCCGCACGAGCGCACCUCACUUUUAGUUGCCAUCAUUAAGUUGGGCACUCUGAAAGAACUGCCAGUGAUAAGCUGGAGGAAGGUGGGGAUGACGUCAAGUCCUCAUGGCCCUUACGUGUUGGGCUACACACGUGCUACAAUGGCAUCUACAACAGGAAGCAAAACGGCAACGUCUAGCAAAUCCCGAAAAGAUGCCUCAGUUCGGAUUGCACUCUGCAACUCGAGUGCAUGAAGCUGGAAUUACUAGUAAUCGCGAAUCAGCAUGUCGCGGUGAAUACGUUCCCGGGCCUUGUACACACCGCCCGUCACACCAUGGGAGUGGGUUGCAAAAGAAGUGGCUAGUCUAACCUUCGGGAGGACGGUCACCACUUUGUGAUUCAUGACUGGGGUGAAGUCGUAACAAGGUAGCCCUAGGGGAACCUGGGGCUGGAUCACCUCCUU